rnacentral:rRNA from 1 species
ACCCGCUGAACUUAAGCAUAUCAAUAAGCGGAGGAAAAGAAACCAACAGGGAUUGCCCUAGUAACGGCGAGUGAAGCGGCAACAGCUCAAAUUUGAAAUCUGGCUCUUUUAGAGUCCGAGUUGUAAUUUGCAGAGGGCGCUUUGGCUUUGGCAGCGGUCCAAGUUCCUUGGAACAGGACGUCACAGAGGGUGAGAAUCCCGUACGUGGUCGCUGGUUAUUGCCGUGUAAAGCCCCUUCGACGAGUCGAGUUGUUUGGGAAUGCAGCUCUAAAUGGGAGGUACAUUUCUUCUAAAGCUAAAUAUUGGCCAGAGACCGAUAGCGCACAAGUAGAGUGAUCGAAAGAUGAAAAGCACUUUGGAAAGAGAGUCAAACAGCACGUGAAAUUGUUGAAAGGGAAGCGCUUGCAGCCAGACUUGCUUACAGUUGCUCAUCCGGGCUUUUGCCCGGUGCACUCUUCUGUAGGCAGGCCAGCAUCAGUUUGGGCGGUAGGAUAAAGGUCUCUGUCACGUACCUCUCUUCGGGGAGGCCUUAUAGGGGAGACGACAUACUACCAGCCUGGACUGAGGUCCGCGCAUCUGCUAGGAUGCUGGCGUAAUGGCUGU